GGUGCAAUGUCUUAUCAGGGAGAGAUAUUUGUUACAAGCCUGGUAAUCUGAAUUUGCUGCCUGGGAACCACAUGGUGGAAGAAGAGAAUGGGCUCCUGAUCUUUUACAUUCUCAAGAGAACAAAUCAGUAAGGUCUCCAAAAAAAUGAGGAAGAAUAACACAAAAUUGGACAUGUUUUGUUGGAGCAUGCACCAAAGUAAAGAUACGAGGAUGAAUUCAGGGGCGACUGACUCCACGACUUUAGGCUUUUGGGCAAAGCAGCAUCUCAUUUCAGAAGUUCAAGGUGGAACUAAGCUGAUUAUCUCAAAGUGAAAAGAAUCCUAAGAAAAACUUUAAAGUUUAAAACUAUCAUGUUAAAGUAAAAUUCAGUAUGAAGAAGUGAAGGUUGGUACAUACAGCAACAGAGAAAGAGUAACACUGGAAAAAAUGACCUUUUGUGGAAAAACCUGUUUUAGUGUUUUCUAAAUAGAUUGUGGUGUUACAUUACUAUGCCAUUGAUGUCCCAUUGGAAACACCAAGCAGAGUCAUGGUUUUAUUUUAAAAUGCGUGUGUUUACAGUGAACUAGAGCUCACAUCAUUACCAACUUCUGAAAUGAAGGCUAAAAACUCAGGAUGGCAAC